AUGACCUGGGCUAUAAACGUGAUACAAUGGCUGUUACAAAGAGUAGCUGAAGCGUGAGUUUUUAGCAAAUCUCAAAAAAACAGUCUCAGUUCGGAUUGAAGUCUGCAACUCGACUUCAUGAAGUCGGAAUCGCUAGUAAUCGCGAAUCAGCAUGUCGUGGUGAAUACGUUCUCGGGGUUUGUACACACCGCCCGUCAAACCAUGAAAGUUGACAAUACUCGAAACCAGUAGCCUAACUUGCAAAAGAGGGAACUGUCUAAGGUAGGGUCGAUGAUUGGGGUUAAGUCGUAACAAGGUAUCCCUACCGGAAGGUGGGGAUGGAUCACCUCCUUUCUAAGGAAAAUAUCAUCUUCAGUUGUGAAAGACUUAAAAAAGUUUUUUAUUUUUUAAGAUAAAAAUAAAUAAUGGUCCGGGGCCUAUAGCUCAGUUGGUUAGAGCACACGCCUGAUAAGCGUGAGGUCGAUGGUUCGAGUCCAUUUAGGCCCACC
rnacentral:rRNA from 1 species